rnacentral:rRNA from 1 species
CCUACGGGAGGCAGCAGUGGGGAAUAUUGGACAAUGGGGGCAACCCUGAUCCAGCCAUGCCGCGUGUGUGAAGAAGGCCCUCGGGUUGUAAAGCACUUUCAGUGAGGAAGAACGCCUGGUGGUUAAUACCCAUCAGGAAAGACAUCACUCACAGAAGAAGCACCGGCUAACUCCGUGCCAGCAGCCGCGGUAAUACGGAGGGUGCGAGCGUUAAUCGGAAUUACUGGGGCGUAAGGGCGCGUAGGUGGCUUGAUAAGCCGGUUGUGAAAGCCCCGGGCUCAACCUGGGAACGGCAUCCGGAACUGUCAAGCUAGAGUGCAGGAGAGGAAGGUAGAAUUCCCGGUGUAGCGGUGAAAUGCGUAGAGAUCGGGAGGAAUACCAGUGGCGAAGGCGGCCUUCUGGACUGACACUGACACUGAGGUGCGAAAGCGUGGGUAGCAAACAGGAUUAGAUACCCCAGUAGUU